GAUGAAGAACGUAGCGAAAUGCGAUAAGUAAUGUGAAUUGCAGAAUUCAGUGAAUCAUCGAAUCUUUGAACGCACAUUGCGUCGCCUGGUAUUCCGGGGGGCAUGCCUGUCCGAGCGUCAUUACAACCCUCAAGCUCAGCUUGGUGUUGGGCCCCGCCGCCCCGGCGGGCCCUAAAGUCAGUGGCGGUGCCGUCCGGCUCCGAGCGUAGUAAUUCUUCUCGCUCUGGAGGUCCGGUCGUGUGCUCGCCAGCAACCCCCAAUUUUUUUCAGGUUGACCUCGGAUCAGGUAGGGAUACCCGCUGAACUUAAGCAUAUCAAUAAGCGGAGGA
rnacentral:misc_RNA from 1 species